AAGUUGGAUUCGCUAGUAAUCGCGCAUCAGCCAUGGCGCGGUGAAUACGUUCCCGGGCCUUGUACACACCGCCCGUCAAGCCAUGGGAGCCGGGGGCGCCUGAAGUCCGGGACCGCGAGGACCGGCCUAGGGCGAAACUGGUAACUGGGGCUAAGUCGUAACAAGGUAAC
rnacentral:rRNA from 1 species